GACGAACGCUGGCGGCGUGCUUAACACAUGCAAGUCGUACGGAAGGCCCUUUCGGGGGUACACGAGUGGCGAACGGGUGAGUAACACGUGAGUAACCUGCCCACAACUUUGGGAUAACGCUAGGAAACUGGUGCUAAUACUGGAUAUGUGCUCCUGCUGCAUGGUGGGGGUUGGAAAGCUCCGGCGGUUGUGGAUGGACUCGCGGCCUAUCAGCUUGUUGGUGGGGUAGUGGCCUACCAAGGCGGCGACGGGUAGCCGGCCUGAGAGGGUGACCGGCCACAUUGGGACUGAGAUACGGCCCAGACUCCUACGGGAGGCAGCAGUGGGGAAUAUUGCACAAUGGGCGCAAGCCUGAUGCAGCAACGCCGCGUGCGGGAUGACGGCCUUCGGGUUGUAAACCGCUUUCAGCAGGGACGAAGCUUUUUGUGACGGUACCUGCAGAAGAAGCACCGGCUAACUACGUG
rnacentral:rRNA from 1 species